rnacentral:tRNA from 1 species
ACCUUCGUGGUGUAGUGGUCAGCACACUCGACGCGUAACGCAGAGGUCCGGGGUUCGAUUCCCGGCGAAGACG